AUGCUUUUCUAAGUAUUUAAGGUACAGACAUUGGAUCUGGACAUUUCACAUUGGCUCUUUAUUGUGUUGCUAAGGACACUGAUGGGUUGAGUUUGCAUAAAACGCAGUAUGGAGCAACAAAUUGGUCUCAUUGCAAGGUCACUACCUGGACGUAUAGGCAAGCAAUGUCAAGAGAGACAUACAGAGAGAUGCUUGGACUAUGAGGAGGAACAUGCACUGUAUAAUGCCCAGGGAAUAAAUGGGCAGAAAUAGCAAAAUUUCUUCCUAGAAGACAUCUGAACAUUGCAGGAAUGGGGUACUUCCAUUUGUGUAACUUCUAUUUGUUAUCAGUUCUUCUCACCUAUAGCUAAAGUCAAAGACGACAAACCAGGUGAAUUAUUGGAGUUGCAAGAUACACAGAAUCAGUCAUCUUAAUCUUGUUUUGUAAAUAUGACUGCUGGUGCUGCUGGUAACGCUAUCCAUCGGCUUGUAGCUCAUGAGAGGCAACCACAGUUGCGAACUUGAAACAUAUAUCUUUUAGG